UCUGUCAGUGAUGAUAUGUUUGUUUUUUUGCUUGAGUUUAGCGACCAUGAGAAAACUCACAUGCACUACCAUCUGAGACGGA
rnacentral:snoRNA from 13 species